rnacentral:rRNA from 1 species
GACGAACGCUGGCGGCGUGCUUAACACAUGCAAGUCGAACGGAAAGGCCCUGCUUUUGUGGGGUGCUCGAGUGGCGAACGGGUGAGUAACACGUGAGUAACCUGCCCUUGACUUUGGGAUAACUUCAGGAAACUGGGGCUAAUACCGGAUAGGAGCUCCUGCUGCACGGUGGGGGUUGGAAAGUUUCGGCGGUUGGGGAUGGACUCGCGGCUUAUCAGCUUGUUGGUGGGGUAGUGGCUUACCAAGGCUUUGACGGGUAGCCGGCCUGAGAGGGUGACCGGCCACAUUGGGACUGAGAUACGGCCCAGACUCCUACGGGAGGCAGCAGUGGGGAAUAUUGCACAAUGGGCGGAAGCCUGAUGCAGCAACGCCGCGUGCGGGAUGACGGCCUUCGGGUUGUAAACCGCUUUCGCCUGUGACGAAGCGUGAGUGACGGUAAUGAGUAAAGAAGCACCGGCUAACUACGUG